rnacentral:lncRNA from 1 species
AUUUAUUUAUUCCGUGAAACUUUGCAAAAACAUAAAUAACUGAAUUGACAAAACAACAAACCGUGACGCAGAGAGAAACAAAACACUACUCAAAAUAUAAUAACCCACAAAACCCAGGAAGAAAAACCCCCAACUUAAAUAUGAUCUCCAAUUAGAGACAACGAGGACCAGCUGCCUCCAAUUGAAGAUCAACCUAAAAAACAACAACAUAGAAAUAGAAAACUAGAACUAAACAUAGCUAUAGAAAACAUAGAACAAAACACCCCUGUCACGCCCUGACCUACUCCACCAUAGAAAAUAACAUCUUACUAUGGUCAGGACAUGACACUGUCUCUCUCUCUCUCUCUACCUCUGCCUCCCUCUCUCUCCAUCUCUCUCUCUACCUCUGCUUCCCUCUCUCUCUCUCUCUAUACCUCUGCUCCCCCCUCUCUCUCUCUCUGUCUCCCUCUCUUUUGCGAGAGAGAGAGAGAGAGAGAGAGAGAGAGAGAGAGAGAGGUGUAGAGGGAGGGAAGCAAGCAGAGGUGUAGAGAGAGAGAGGGAAGCAGAGGUGUAGAGAGAGAGAGAGAGGGAAGCAGAGGUAGAGAGAGAGAGAGAGAGGGAAGCAGAGGUAGAGAGAGAGAUGGAGAGAGAGGGAAGCAGAGGUGGGAGAGAGAGAGAGAGAGAGAGAGAGAGAGAGGGAAGCAGAGGUAGAGAGAGAGAGAGAGAGAGAGGGAAGCAGAGGUAGAGAGAGAGAUGGAGAGAGAGGGAGGCAGAGGUAGAGAGAGAGAGAGGGAAGCAGAGGUAGAGAGAGAGAUGGAGAGAGAGGGAAGCAGAGGUAGAGAGAGAGAGAGAGAGAGAGAGAGAGGGACGCAGAGGUAGAGAGAGAGAGAGAGAGAGAGGGAAGCAGAGGUAGAGAGAGAGAUGGAGAGAACAAUAGAGACAGAGAAAAAGACAGAGCAGCCAACCCCUCAGGACUAAAUACACCUCAGAAGAACGACCAAACAACUAAAAGGUACAGAAACAAAUUCACUUGAAUGUGGUCAGAGCGCCCCCAGGUGGCCGAGGAGGGUGUUAACUGUCUCAUUAAGUUUCAUAAGACGAUCAGUAGGCAAUCAUCACUCUGAAGACAAAUAAUACAGACAAUAUGAGAGGCACAGGCUGUAUCCCAAAUAACACAUCACAGGCUGUUUCCCAAAUAACACAUCACAGGCUGUAUCCCAAAUAACACAUCACAGGCUGUUUCCCAAAUAACACAUCACAGGCUGUUUCCCAAAUAACACAUCACAGGCUGUUUCCCAAAUAACACAUCACAGGCUGUUUCCCAAAUAACACAUCACAGGCUGUAUUCCAAAUAACACAUCACAGGCUGUAUCCCAAAUAACACAUCACAGGCUGUAUCCCAAAUAACACCCUAUCUUAUAUAUAGGACAUGACUACUGACCAUAUACCUAAAGAGAACCACAGUAUGAGGCAUAACACCCAUAAAACCUUGCGGUGAAACAGGAAAUAUACCUCUUACCCCCCC